rnacentral:tRNA from 1 species
GGUAGGGUGGCAGAGUGGUCGAUUGCGCCGGUUUUGAAAACCGGUGAACCGCAAGGUUCCGUGGGUUCGAAUCCCACCCCUACCG